GAUGAAGAACGUAGCGAAAUGCGAUAAGUAGUGUGAAUUGCAGAAUUCAGUGAAUCAUCGAAUCUUUGAACGCACAUUGCGGCCCUUGGUAUUCCAUGGGGCAUGCCUGUUCGAGCGUCAUUUGUACCUUCAAGCUCUGCUUGGUGUUGGGUGUUUGUCCUUGCUCUAGUGGCGGGACUCGCCUUAAAGUAAUUGGCAGCCAGUGUUUUGGUUUUGAAGCGCAGCACAAGUCGCGAUUCAAGUCUGUACGCUAGUUUCCACAAGUCUUUUAUCACUUUUGACCUCGGAUCAGGUAGGGAUACCCGCUGAACUUAAGCAUAUCAAUAAGCGGAGGG
rnacentral:misc_RNA from 1 species